UUAUCCAUAUUCGAAUUAUUUGUCAAAAUAUUGGGAUACAUUUAAAAAUCCUCAAAUCCUUUAAAAACUGGAUCAACAAAUAAUUUUUAAAGUUAUACUUCUUAUACGACACCGGAAAAGGUUGCGUUAAAUGCAAGUUGCGCAACCUUGUAAGCAAAAGUGCUUACUUUUUUUCUUAAUGUUAAUUUGUGCACUUUUCCCCUAUUUUGCUUACUUUUUUCUUUAGAUCUUUUAAAUUGAAGUGUAUUAUUUAUUGAUUUUAAGUAUUUCAAAUAAAUUUAAAUAAGUGAUAGCACUGUUCAGCACUGUUCAGCACUGUUAAGCACUUAUACCCUGCAAGACGGAGGUAACAGAUUGCACAAACACAUUGAAACAUUUUCAGCUGUUCACUAACACUGUUACUUGCGAUUUUCAAUUGCAUGGGAGAAUACGUAAGUAAGAUAGAGAACAACUAACGACAUUCUAAACAUAUUGUAAUGUUAACUAGCUAGAAUAGGAGAGACGAAUACUCAAUUUUUCAAGAAGAAGAAAACGAAAAGCGCAGUUUCAAGAAUGAUAAAAACAAAGAUUGCGCAAUGACGAGUUCAAAUUUUGUUCGUUGUUCGUUGUAUUGCAGGCAUACAAAAUCAUGAAUAUCAUCAAAAGUUAACAUCAAUAUAAAUAUAACCCAAAAGCUGGAUGCCAUUAAGAGCCGUCUCACUGCAAUUUAAAAGUCCCUAACAAACAAAAUGCCAGAAGAUGCCGCAUCACCGGUGACUUGGAGGAUGAGCAUUACUUGUAGCUCGAGUCGAAAUUGCCUAUGUCAUCGGAAGAGCACGGGUGCUUCGGGGACAAACAUUCACAAAUGAAAAUGGAUAUUAGUUUUAAGUUGUAAAUAUUAGUUUUAAGUUUGACAUAUUAGUAUUAAGUUGUAAAUAUUAGUUCUAAGUUGUAUAUAUUAGUUCUAAGUUGAAGUCUCUAAAUUUAGUUUUACAAAUAUGCUUUUUUAACUAAUAACUUUUAUACUGAAGUAAACUUAAUCUUAUGUUUAAGUAAAUAUGAUUUUAUUAUUAAAUAAAGCGAAAUAAUAAAAAAAACUGAGUUUUAUUUAAAAGAAUUGAAUUUGCUAGAAGAAACAAAUGGGUAACAGAUAAUCUUGUUACUGCUUGUUCUUCCUAACAUGCUUAUAUGUUAAAGGUAACAAACUGAUAACCAAAAUAAUAACACUAACAGAUAUUCGGGUAACAAAUACUUUUUGUUAUCCAUAACACAUAGGUAAGCUAUGCGCUAACAAAAUAAUUUGUUACCCGUAACAUACUGUGAAGAGAUUUGCUAACAAAUGUGUGUAUUCUGUUAGAACAAGGCAGCAUGCGAUAUUUGCCAUUGGUUAGAGCGAGAUAACCAUUGAACAUCAAAUAGCUAUGUGUUACUUUUUUCCCACUCUCUGAAGAAAAGUAACAAAUAUUUUAACGAAUGCAAAAGUGAACAAUAACAACUCGUUUACACGUUUGCUAACAACUACCCGUUUUGCAGGGUACAUUUCAUAGUCAUGUUAUUGAUGCAAGUGGCAGCACUGUUCA